UACGAAGGGGGCUAGCGUUGCUCGGAAUCACUGGGCGUAAAGCGCACGUAGGCGGAUUGCUAAGUCAGGGGUGAAAUCCUGGAGCUCAACUCCAGAACUGCCCUUUGAUACUGGCGAUCUUCGAGUCGGGAGAGGUGAGUGGAACUGCGAGUGUAGAGGUGAAAUUCGUAGAUAUUCGCAAGAACACCAGUGGCGAAGGCGGCUCACUGGCCCGAUACUGACGCUGAGGUGCGAAAGCGUGGGGAGCAAACAGG
rnacentral:rRNA from 1 species